AGUGAACGCUGGCGGUAGGCCUAACACAUGCAAGUCGAACGGCAGCACAGUAAGAGCUUGCUCUUACGGGUGGCGAGUGGCGGACGGGUGAGGAAUACAUCGGAAUCUACUUUUUCGUGGGGGAUAACGUAGGGAAACUUACGCUAAUACCGCAUACGACGUACGGGUGAAAGCAGGGGAUCUUCGGACCUUGCGCGAUUGAAUGAGCCGAUGUCGGAUUAGCUAGUUGGCGGGGUAAAGGCCCACCAAGGCGACGAUCCGUAGCUGGUCUGAGUGGAUGGUCAGCCGCACUGGAACUGGAACACGGUCCAGAGUCCUGCGGGAGGCACCAGUGGGGAAUAUUGGACAAUGGGCGCAAGCCUGAUCCAGCCAUACCGCGUGGGUGAAGAAGGCCUUCGGGUUGUAAAGCCCUUUUGUUGGGAAAGAAAAGCAGCAGGUUAAUACCCCGCUGUUCUGACGGUACCCAAAGAAUAAGCACCGGCUAACUUCGUG
rnacentral:rRNA from 1 species